rnacentral:rRNA from 1 species
GACGAACGCUGGCGGCGUGCUUAACACAUGCAAGUCGAACGGAAAGGCUCCAGCUUGCUGGAGUGCUCGAGUGGCGAACGGGUGAGUAACACGUGGGCAAUCUGCCCUGCACUCUGGGAUAAGCCUGGGAAACUGGGUCUAAUACCGGAUAGGACCUUUCUCCUCAUGGGGUUUGGUGGAAAGUUUUUCGGUGCAGGAUGAGCCCGCGGCCUAUCAGCUUGUUGGUGGGGUAAUGGCCUACCAAGGCGACGACGGGUAGCCGGCCUGAGAGGGUGAUCGGCCACAUUGGGCCUGAGAUACGGCCCAGACUGCUACGGGAGGCAGCAGUGGGGAAUAUUGCACAAGGGGCGAAAGCCUGAUGCAGCGACGCCGCGUGAGGGAUGACGGCCUUCGGGUUGUAAACCGCUUUCAGUAGGGACGAAGCGCAAGUGACGGUACCUGCAGAAGAAGCACCGGCUAACUACGUG